rnacentral:misc_RNA from 1 species
GAAAUGCGAUAAGUAAUGUGAAUUGCAGAAUUCAGUGAAUCAUCGAAUCUUUGAACGCACAUUGCGCUCGCCAGUAUUCUGGCGAGCAUGCCUGUUCGAGCGUCAUUUCAACCAUCAAGCUCUGCUUGCGUUGGGGAUCCGCGGCUGCCCGCGGUCCCUCAAAAACAGUGGCGGGCUCGCUAGUCACCGAGCGUAGUAACUCUACAUCGCUAUGGUCGUGCGGCGGGUUCUUGCCGUAAAACCCCCAAUUUCUAAGGUUGACCUCGGAUCAGGUAGGAAUACCCGCUGAACUUAAGC